rnacentral:lncRNA from 1 species
GAAGAGGGAGGGUAAGGCUGAGGAUCGAGGACAGUGCAACCACGUCCGAAUCAACCAGACGGUGACUUUCUGGGUUUCUCUCCAAGCCACCCACUGCCUCCCAGAGCCCCAUCUCCUGAGGCUCCGGGCCCUUGGCUUCUCAGAGGAGCUGAUUGUGGAGUUGCACACGCUGUGUGACUGUAAUUGCAGUGACACCCAGCCCCAGGCUCCCCACUGCAGUGAUGGCCAGGGACACCUACAAUGUGGUGUAUGCAGCUGUGCCCCUGGCCGCCUAGGUCGGCUCUGUGAGUGCUCUGUGGCAGAGCUGUCCUCCCCAGACCUGGAAUCUGGGUGCCGGGCUCCCAAUGGCACAGGGCCCCUGUGCAGUGGAAAGGGUCACUGUCAAUGUGGACGCUGCAGCUGCAGUGGACAGAGCUCUGGGCAUCUGUGCGAGUGUGACGAUGCCAGCUGUGAGCGACAUGAGGGCAUCCUCUGCGGAGGUACCUGGAGCCUUGGGGAGAAGGGCGGGGUCUGAGAGGCCUUCCCAAGGCACUUAGGCUCUGGGAAUCUCCUGGCAUGGAAGGCAAAUAUCAAAAGAUUCCGGUGUAUGGGUUAGAGGGUGUGGUUGGCAUACUUCAAAAAGAUUGGAUGCGUGGGCUUGUCGUGCCACAU